rnacentral:rRNA from 1 species
UGCGAGGUGUCAAACCGGAGGAAGGUGGGGAUGACGUCAAAUCAUCAUGCCCCUUAUGACCUGGGCUACACACGUGCUACAAUGGACAGAACAAAGGGCAGCGAAACCGCGAGGUUAAGCCAAUCCCACAAAUCUGUUCUCAGUUCGGAUCGCAGUCUGCAACUCGACUGCGUGAAGCUGGAAUCGCUAGUAAUCGCGGAUCAGCAUGCCGCGGUGAAUACGUUCCCGGGCCUUGUACUCACCGCCCGUCACACCACGAGAGUUUU